rnacentral:rRNA from 1 species
UUGAACGCUGGCGGCAGGCCUAACACAUGCAAGUCGAGCGGUUGAGAGUAGCUUGCUACUUGAUGCAGCGGCGGACGGGUGAGUAACGCGUGGGAAUCUGCCCAGUAGUGGGGGACAACAGCCGGAAACGGCUGCUAAUACCGCAUACGCCCUACGGGGGAAAGGGGGGGAUCUUCGGACCUCUCGCCAUUGGAUGAGCCCGCGUCGGAUUAGCUAGUUGGUAGGGUAAAGGCCUACCAAGGCUACGAUCCGUAACUGGUCUGAGAGGAUGAUCAGUCACACUGGAACUGAGACACGGUCCAGACUCCUACGGGAGGCAGCAGUGGGGAAUAUUGGACAAUGGGGGAAACCCUGAUCCAGCCAUGCCGCGUGUGUGAAGAAGGCCUUAGGGUUGUAAAGCACUUUCAGUGGGGAGAAAGGUUUGUCACCUAAUACGUGAUGAAAUUGAUGUUACCCACAGAAGAAGCACCGGCUAACUCCGUGCCAGCAGCCGCAGUAACAC